GACGAACGCUGGCGGCGUGCUUAACACAUGCGAGUCGAACGGAAAGGCCCUGCUUUUGUGGGUUGCUCGAGUGGCGAACGGGUGAGUAACACGUGAGUAACCUGCCCUUGACUGUGUGAUAACUUCAGGAAACUGGGGCUAAUACCGGAUAGGAUCUCCUGCUGCAUGGUGGGGGUUGGAAAGUUUCGGCGGUUGGGGAUGGACUCGCGGCUUAUCAGCUUGUUGGUGGGGUAGUGGCUUACCAAGGCUUUGACGGGUAGCCGGCCUGAGAGGGUGACCGGCCACAUUGGGACUGAGAUACGGCCCAGACUCCUACGGGAGGCAGCAGUGGGGAAUGUUGCACAAUGGGCGGAAGCCUGAUGCAGCAACGCCGCGUGCGGGAUGACGGCCUUCGGGUUGUAAACCGCUUUCGCAUGUGACGAAGCGUGAGUGACGGUAAUGGGUAAAGAAGCACCGGCUAACUACGUG
rnacentral:rRNA from 1 species